CAUACAGUCAGGUAAAUUAUCACUGCCAAACACAAAAUCCGAUCUUUGGUUGCUUUCAAAUAGCCUCGCAAAAGAUUGAAGCAGCCAACAACAACUCUCUUCUGUAUUGCACGGCUAUAAAAGAAUAUAUUGUGUGUAAUGAAAAAGUUGCCUGCGAUUGUAAACUUGGAAACAAUCGUUUUAUUCUGCAAGAAGUCGCUACGUAUGUUGAAUAUUUCAAAAGAAAUGGCUGUCCGAAGGUGCUACAAGAAGAACUGUUGACUGAUCCCGGUAUUAUUUGUCCUGGACAAGUAGCUAAUAGUUCUGGUGCUGAUGCUGCACUUUCGAUUCUAGCCUUUGAAUCAUUACCGCAGGUUAUUUUAUUGGAAAAGAAUUGUACAGGAAUACAGAAAUGUUAUAAAGAAUUAAGUGUUGCUGCUGGUACAGCUCUGUACAAUAAAGAUCUUGGAGCAUUUUGUGAUGCCAUUGAGAGUUUCUUGCCGUGUUUUGAGAACAGAACUUGCGAAUGUGGAGAUAAUUAUAAUAAUGAAUUUAUAAAGAAUGUCGCGAAUGAAAGAAGGUCUUACAAUGCAUAUUGUACGCUACUCACUAAUGGGGUAUUUUUUAAAGAAGGGAUACGAUGUACAGGUGACGCUCCUGUAAAUAUCUGUAAACAGCAGAAUCCGAUAUCAGACUGUUUUAAUGCCUUCCAAGCCGUAGCAAUUCCCAAUUUGGCAAACAAACCAGUAGUCUGCCCAGCGUUCCAUACUUAUUUGAACUGUACAGAGACUGUAGCGUGUACCUGUGGAUUGAGAAAAUAUGUACCAAUUCUUAAGGGAAUAGCCUUCGCUCAUGCAAAUUACAAGUCCAUGGGCUGUGAAGCGUUAAGUGGUACAUUAGAAAGAGUAGCAGGAAUUCAAUGUCCAGCUGGUUCUCCAAAUACUGGUACAACAUCCGAUGAAAUUUUAACAACACUGGGAUUAUUAAACGCACCUGCUGUUAUUGGUCAUAUUGAAAGAUGUCCAGCUUCUAAAGAAUGUUACAUAAAAUCUGAUAAAGCAUCAGCUAAAGCAUUGCAUGAAAAAGAUGCCCCUGCUCUUUGUCAAGCUCAGGGUGAUUUUAUUCACUGUUGGGAACAAGCAUUGUGUAAAUGUUACAUGUAUAUGAACAGAGAAUAUCAGUAUUGGUUAACUGAACAAAAAACCCUCCAUUUAAAGUUAUGUCAAGCAGAUACAUCCAUUAAACCAACAUAUUUAUGUGAUUCAUCAACCAUGGUCAGUGUCUCGGUGUGGAGUGUGUUAAUGUUUACCAUAGCAACCAUUCUGUUUUAAUGUCUUAUUUUAAUAACCACGUAUGCUAUAUCGAUCAUAAUGCCUGCAUACAACCACUUAUCUGGAAUAAGUAACACCAAUAAUCCACAAAUCAUUGUAGACGUACCAACAUGUUCUAGUUACUGAGGUUGUUUCCAAAUGCAUACAUGGCAUCCUCAACUGAAAAUGUGCCUAUGCUAACCAAUAAUAAACAGGGACCUUGCAUUAUAUGUACUAAUUUGUGUUAAAACAACAAUCUUGUGGGGAUAUCUGAUUGAAGUUCGGAAAUUUAAUUACCACGGUACACGGUCCAUUGAAUAAGAUUAAGAAUAUGUGAAAAUCGACCAUGGCGGAAGAAACAUGUGUUCGGUGUGUUUAGUAUUUAACUCGGGUAUAUGGAUUGACAAAGCUGGUACCAGACCGAUAUCAAUAUCACUGGGGGUUGCACUUCUGUCAAUUCCGUUUUUGGAUCCCACAAUCUAGUAUCCCCGUGGACAUAUCAAGCUUACGAUAAAGACAGCUUUAGAACUUGAAACCAACAAACGCGAUAUUUAUUAAUUCGUUUGUUUUGGACAUUUAUAGGCUUUGAAACCCGAAGCGUUGUUUCAGUAAUUUCAGUUUCAUUUAUUUGUAUUAUCAUUUGGCUGAGCGAAUAUUUCAAUGCAAGACAAAGAAAUAAUCUAAUCACGCACUAGCCAAUUCUAUUAAAGUAACAGCGAUAACAAGACUUAGUGUGGUAAGUUUAAAUACUGCAGAUUAUGAUGCCUCUCUGACAAGUGGAAUCCACACUGGAAUAUCCCGAACGAACUUUCUCGCCAACACCAUGGAAACAAAUUGGUAUACAAUGAUUAUUCCCGAAUAUAUUUCAUACACCGCCUACAAUACCGCUCACUAAAUUUUAUUUAUUAACUGUUAAUGUUUUCCAAAGUUCUGUCCGGAUUAUCGCCCCUUUUAUUGUUAUUUUUUUUGGUUUUGACGUGCUCACUCAUAACGACUACUGUCAGACUAAAGACAUUCAGAGGACGACCACCUUCAAGACUGGUUUUUCUUGUAAAUCAAUUUGUAUUUUAAUUUUAGUGAAGCCUUUAUUAUUACAGGUCCGGGAACGUACAGCGCAUUGGGCGCCUAUGGCUGUCUGGUUCCCUAUUCCCUUUAAUUGAUUUGUUAUUUGUUGUCUAUUUCUUGCAAUGUCGGUGUAGUUGGACUAGUGCGGAGGUUUGUCUUAUCGGUUUUAUUUUGCGUGUUGUGCCGUUCUCCUGCAGUUACUAUUAAUGAAAGCUUGUAGACAUACCUUUAUAUUGUAGUUGUGCCCUGUUCAGUUAAUAACUUUUGUUAUGGUAAUUUUAAUGCACAAUUAUUAUU